AGAGGAGGAGGAGGAAGAGAAGGAGGAGGGCUUUAAAGACACAGCAGGGAGAGGCGUGGCCACCGCCGCCGCCUCAGGUCUCUAAGGCAUGAAAGCCGGUUUGGUGUCCAGGUUCUUGGAAUUAGCAUCCGCUAAUUUUCCUUUCACCAUCCUUCUGAAACCUAACCAUCUAUCAUUUAGUGAGUUUUACUGGCCAUUUGAAGUGAAGCAGGAAUUGAGCAGUUGACUUCUCAGGAUUGCAGCUAUAUUAGGGACCAUGGGAAAAGUGAUGAAUGCGUAUCAGAAGAGUCAUGAAUGCAACUUUGAAUGGAGCCAUUAUAAUCCCAGCUUAA